GACAGAGGGGGCAAGCGUUGCUCGGAAUUACUGGGCGUAAAGGGCGCGUAGGCGGAAUGGCAAGUCGGUCGUGAAAUCCUUCGGCUCAACCGAAGAACGUCGAUCGAAACUGCCGUUCUUGAGGAUUGCAGAGGAGACUGGAAUUCCCGGUGUAGCGGUGAAAUGUGUAGAGAUCGGGAGGAACACCGGUGGCGAAGGCG
rnacentral:rRNA from 1 species